rnacentral:tRNA from 1 species
CGAGAAUUAGUCUAGCAAAGACACUUGAUUUCGGCUCAGGAAACCUUGGUUUGAAUCCAAGAUUCUCAG